rnacentral:lncRNA from 10 species
UCAAACAUACAAUAUUCUAAAUUUGACUUAACAUAUCAUAGAAUAAUUGACCAAUAUAAUAUAGACCAAUGUAAUGUAGAAAAUGUGGUAAAUGUAAUGUGGUGUUCUAAUAGCUGUUAUUAAGGGAGAGAUCACACUUGUGCUUUUAGAUUAUAGAUUCUGAAUUGAAGGAAAAUUUACACAAAUCUAAAUCAUAUAUUCAGUCAUACAUUGGAGAUAGUACAAAUGCAGUUCCAGACCACUACACACACACAUACACACACAAUUGGCCUUCCUUAUCUAGGGUUUCACAUCUGCAGAUUCAGCCAACUGCUGAUUAAAAAAUUCAGAAAGAGAACAAUAAAAAAUAACAAUACAAAAACUUAAAAAAAAAUGUAUUAAGAUGGAGGGAUAAGAGGUAGGACUAGCUUGCAGCUCCCGCUCAGGCAGAGCAGUGUGUGGUGACUCACAUCAUGAAGUUU